GCGCCCAUAGCUCAAUGGAUAGAGCACUGGUCUUCGGAACCAGGGAUGAGGGUUCAAUUCCUUCUGGGCGUACAA
rnacentral:tRNA from 1 species